GAGUAUCUAGACAUAGUUCUCAAUGCUAUUCAGCAGGAUCUCCUUAUAAAUCUAUUCUAGGUUGUGUCUGAUAAGCCCAAAGAAACAAAACUCAAAUCUGUUAAAAAACAAAAUUCAACUGAGUAAAUUUUAAAGAUCCUAUUGGCUUUAUUUGAUGAUUCAUGAAUUAGGAAGCAUUCCCUCCAGCAGAUAAAAGGGAGUUCUCGGAGUUCCCCUCGUGGUGUAAUGGAAAAGAACCCCACUAGGAACCAUGAGGCCAGGGAUUGAACCCGCAUCCUCAUGGAUACUAGUCAGGUCCUUAACCCACUGAGCCACAAUGGGAACUCCUAGUAGCAGGCUUCCUUGAUGGUUUCUCCUUCUACUUGGCCAUUUAUAAGAUUCUCAGUUGAUCCACCCCACCUUUUCCUUCCCACCCACUGUUUUCCUUAUUCUGACUAUUGCUGUCCUCUACCUUAUACUGCUUACUGAAAUACUAUAUUCUCUCUUAAUUUUUGCAUGUCCAAGGCCUUAAUGGCCCCUCUAACUUCUCUCAAAGUCAUGAGUUCUCAGCUUCUACUCCUGUUGCUUAUGCUUUAUUCUUUCAGUACCUUUCAUUUCAUAUUUCUGAGGGAAAAUUGACUUUGCCCUGCAGGCUCACCCCCACUCCAGAAAUGUCAUGUCCUCACUUGUUGACUUGUUUAGAUAUUGACUGCCCUGAAGUUAGGAUUCCACCUCUGGUCCAGUUAAAUGUGUCUGGGAUCUGGUGGGAUUAGGAACGUGUCUUGAAACGUAUAAAUACCUAACACUGCCUUAUUAAUAGAGCUUGUGAAUGUGUGGAAGACUUGGUGAUAAGACAGGAUUUUUUACACAGUGUUGUGUGUCAUCUGGGGAUUUUAAUGAGUAUUAAAGUUUGUCAGUUUCUGGGUUCAUCAGUUCCCCAGAGGGGAAGCUUUUAACUUAGCUUUUGCAAGUUUAAAUUUUCUGGGCCUGCAUUCCACUUUUCAGUUUCCUAGUUCCCAGAUAACCGACCUCAUAGUAUGAAUUCUCAGGAUGAACCUCUUUCAAGGUAAAAUGUGUGAGAGAAGAGACCAUCUACUGGAAGAAAAACUGACUUUUAUUGCAGAACCUUCCAAAGAGUUGAGGAGGAAAAUAAAUUGGCUUAUUCUGAAGUUGGAGGCUAUUUAAAUAGAUUUUUCCAUAGCUUUUCUGUAUAGGGGAAGAGACUGGUCAGGUUAAAGUUGGUUUAUAGCAAUUAUAAGAUUGUGCUGAAUUUAGAUUUAUCUCUGGCUAUUUAUAUUUUGGGGUACUAUUGUAAAUGGUACUUUAAAAAUGUUAAUUUAUGGAGUUCCCAUCAUGGCUCAAUGGAUUAAGAACCCGAUACAGUGCCCAUGAGGAUGCAGGUUCAAUUUCUGGCCUUGAUCAGAGGGUUAAAGAUCCCACGUUGCUGCAAGCUACAGUGUGGGUUGCAAUUGUAGCUCAGAUCCAGCAUUGCAGCAGUUGUGGCAUAGGUUGGCAGCUGCUGCUCUGAUUUGACCCCUAGCCUGGGAACUUCCAUAUGUCUCAAGUGUGGCCCUAAAAGGAAAAAGAAAAGCCAAUUUGUUCCCUGCUAGUAUAUAGAAAUGUAUAUAUAUUUGUAUUUUGAUCUUGUAUCCCGUGUUCCUACUAAAUUAAUUUACUGAUUCUAGAAGCUUUAUUGUAGAUUCUUUAGGAUUUUCUACAUUGAUGGUUAUGUUGAGUGCAGAUAAAGGUCAUGUUAUGUCUUCCUGUUUAUCAGUAUGCCUUUUAUUUCUUUUUCUUACUACAUUGACUGACCCUAAGUAUGAUUUUGAAGUGAUAGGAUGAGAUUAGACAUCCUUGCCUUGUUUCUGAGUUUAAGGGAUGAUUGUACAUUCCCAUUAAUGGUAGGGUUUUUUUUUGUUUGUUUGUUUGUUUUUGCCAUUUCUUGGGCCACUCCCAGGCUAUGGAGGUUCCCAGGCUAGGGGUCCAGUUGGAGCUGUAGCCACCAGCCCACGCCAGAGCCAGAGCAACUCAGGAUCUGAGCUGAGUCUGCAACCUACACCACAGCUUAUGGCAAUGUCGGAUCCUUAACCCACUGAGCAAGGCCAGGGAUUGACCCUACAACCUCAUGGUUCCUAGUCGGAUUCGUUAACCACUGAGCCACGACAGGAACUCCAAUGGUAUGUUUUUUAUCAAUGCUUUUUAUUGAGUUGAGGAAGUUCCUUUUUAUCUCUAGUUUUCUGAGUUUUCAUCAUAAAUGGACAUUGGAUUUCAUUACAUACUUUUCGUGUGUCUUGUGAGAUGAUCAAUCAUGUGGGUUUUUUCUUUAGUCUACUGAUACAGUGGAUUACAUUAAUUGAUUUUUGAAUAUUGAAUCCCUCGUGCAUACUCUUAAUAAGUCCCACUUGGUCUCGAUGUGUUAUCCUUUUUUUAUAUUGCUAUAUUCACUUUGUUAGUAUUUUGUUACGGAUUUUGGUUUUGGCUUUGUCUUUGACCUGUGGUCUUUUGUAUUGCUGUUACUGGGUUUGGUGUCAGUGUUAUGCUGGCCUCCUAAAAUUAGAUGGGGUAGUUCCCGAUGUGGUUCAGCGGUAACAAACCUGACCAGUAUCCAUGAGGAUGCAGGUUCGAUCUCUGGCCUCCCUCAGUGGGUUAAAGUUCUGGCGUUGCUUGUCAUGAGCUGUGACCCACUCAUGCCGUGGGCUGUGGUGUAGGUUACCCCGCAGCUCGGAUCUGGCAUUGCUAUGCCUGUGGUGUAGGCCAGCAGCUGCAGCUCCAGUGUGACCCCUAGCCUGGGAGCAUCUAUAUGCUGCAGGUGUGGCACUAAAAAGCAAAAAGAAAAAAAAAA
rnacentral:lncRNA from 1 species